UCAAGUGAAGAAGCGCAUACGGUGGAUGCCUUGGCAGUCAGAGGCGAUGAAAGACGUGGUAGCCUGCGAAAAGCUUCGGGGAGUCGGCAAACAGACUUUGAUCCGGAGAUCUCUGAAUGGGGGAACCCACCUAGGAUAACCUAGGUAUCUUGUACUGAAUCCAUAGGUGCAAGAGGCGAACCAGGGGAACUGAAACAUCUAAGUACCCUGAGGAAAAGAAAUCAACCGAGAUUCCCUUAGUAGUGGCGAGCGAACGGGGAUUAGCCCUUAAGCUUCAUUGAUUUUAGCGGAACGCUCUGGAAAGUGCGGCCAUAGUGGGUGAUAGCCCCGUACGCGAAAGGAUCUUUGAAGUGAAAUCGAGUAGGACGGAGCACGAGAAACUUUGUCUGAACAUGGGGGGACCAUCCUCCAAGGCUAAAUACUACUGACUGACCGAUAGUGAACCAGUACCGUGAGGGAAAGGCGAAAAGAACCCCCGGAGAGGGGAGUGAAAUAGAACCUGAAACCGUAUGCGUACAAGCAGUGGGAGCCUACUUGUUAGGUGACUGCGUACCUUUUGUAUAAUGGGUCAGCGACUUAUAUUCAGUGGCAAGCUUAACCGUAUAGGGUAGGCGUAGCGAAAGCGAGUCUUAAUAGGGCGUUUAGUCGCUGGGUAUAGACCCGAAACCGGGCGAUCUAUCCAUGAGCAGGUUGAAGGUUAGGUAACACUGACUGGAGGACCGAACCCACUCCCGUUGAAAAGGUAGGGGAUGACUUGUGGAUCGGAGUGAAAGGCUAAUCAAGCUCGGAGAUAGCUGGUUCUCCUCGAAAGCUAUUUAGGUAGCGCCUCAUGUAUCACUCUGGGGGGUAGAGCACUGUUUCGGCUAGGGGGUCAUCCCGACUUACCAAACCGAUGCAAACUCCGAAUACCCAGAAGUGCCGAGCAUGGGAGACACACGGCGGGUGCUAACGUCCGUCGUGAAAAGGGAAACAACCCAGACCGCCAGCUAAGGUCCCAAAGUUGUGGUUAAGUGGUAAACGAUGUGGGAAGGCUUAGACAGCUAGGAGGUUGGCUUAGAAGCAGCCACCCUUUAAAGAAAGCGUAAUAGCUCACUAGUCGAGUCGGCCUGCGCGGAAGAUGUAACGGGGCUCAAACCACACACCGAAGCUGCGGGUGUCACGUAAGUGACGCGGUAGAGGAGCGUUCUGUAAGCCUGUGAAGGUGAGUUGAGAAGCUUGCUGGAGGUAUCAGAAGUGCGAAUGCUGACAUGAGUAACGACAAUGGGUGUGAAAAACACCCACGCCGAAAGACCAAGGGUUCCUGCGCAACGUUAAUCGACGCAGGGUUAGUCGGUUCCUAAGGCGAGGCUGAAAAGCGUAGUCGAUGGGAAACAGGUUAAUAUUCCUGUACUUCUGGUUACUGCGAUGGAGGGACGGAGAAGGCUAGGCCAGCUUGGCGUUGGUUGUCCAAGUUUAAGGUGGUAGGCUGAAAUCUUAGGUAAAUCCGGGGUUUCAAGGCCGAGAGCUGAGCUGAUGACGAGUCGUCUUUUAGAUGACGAAGUGGUUGAUGCCAUGCUUCCAAGAAAAGCUUCUAAGCUUCAGGUAACCAGGAACCGUACCCCAAACCGACACAGGUGGUCGGGUAGAGAAUACCAAGGCGCUUGAGAGAACUCGGGUGAAGGAACUAGGCAAAAUGGCACCGUAACUUCGGGAGAAGGUGCGCCGGCUAGGGUGAAGGAUUUACUCCGUAAGCUCUGGCUGGUCGAAGAUACCAGGCCGCUGCGACUGUUUAUUAAAAACACAGCACUCUGCAAACACGAAAGUGGACGUAUAGGGUGUGACGCCUGCCCGGUGCCGGAAGGUUAAUUGAUGGGGUUAGCGCAAGCGAAGCUCUUGAUCGAAGCCCCGGUAAACGGCGGCCGUAACUAUAACGGUCCUAAGGUAGCGAAAUUCCUUGUCGGGUAAGUUCCGACCUGCACGAAUGGCGUAACGAUGGCGGCGCUGUCUCCACCCGAGACUCAGUGAAAUUGAAAUCGCUGUGAAGAUGCAGUGUAUCCGCGGCUAGACGGAAAGACCCCGUGAACCUUUACUGUAGCUUUGCACUGGACUUUGAGCCUGCUUGUGUAGGAUAGGUGGGAGGCUUUGAAGCGUGGACGCCAGUUCGCGUGGAGCCAUCCUUGAAAUACCACCCUGGCAUGCUUGAGGUUCUAACUCUGGUCCGUAAUCCGGAUCGAGGACAGUGUAUGGUGGGCAGUUUGACUGGGGCGGUCUCCUCCUAAAGAGUAACGGAGGAGUACGAAGGUGCGCUCAGACCGGUCGGAAAUCGGUCGCAGAGUAUAAAGGCAAAAGCGCGCUUGACUGCGAGACAGACACGUCGAGCAGGUACGAAAGUAGGUCUUAGUGAUCCGGUGGUUCUGUAUGGAAGGGCCAUCGCUCAACGGAUAAAAGGUACUCCGGGGAUAACAGGCUGAUACCGCCCAAGAGUUCAUAUCGACGGCGGUGUUUGGCACCUCGAUGUCGGCUCAUCACAUCCUGGGGCUGAAGCCGGUCCCAAGGGUAUGGCUGUUCGCCAUUUAAAGUGGUACGCGAGCUGGGUUUAGAACGUCGUGAGACAGUUCGGUCCCUAUCUGCCGUGGACGUUUGAGAUUUGAGAGGGGCUGCUCCUAGUACGAGAGGACCGGAGUGGACGAACCUCUGGUGUUCCGGUUGUCACGCCAGUGGCAUUGCCGGGUAGCUAUGUUCGGAAAAGAUAACCGCUGAAAGCAUCUAAGCGGGAAACUUGCCUCAAGAUGAGAUCUCACUGGGAACUUGAUUCCCCUGAAGGGCCGUCGAAGACUACGACGUUGAUAGGCUGGGUGUGUAAGCGUUGUGAGGCGUUGAGCUAACCAGUACUAAUUGCCCGUGAGGCUUGACCAU
rnacentral:rRNA from 1 species